UGAAGUGUUUCCUUUGCACAGUGUUUCCUGU
rnacentral:piRNA from 1 species